UACGAAGGGAGCUAGCGUUGUUCGGAAUCACUGGGCGUAAAGCGCACGUAGGCGGAUGUGUCAGUCAGGGGUGAAAUCCUGGAGCUCAACUCCAGAACUGCCUUUGAUACUGAGGAUCUUGAGUACGGGAGAGGUGAGUGGAACUGCGAGUGUAGAAGGUGAAAUUCGUAGAUAUUCGCAAGAACACCAGUGGCGAAGGCGGCUCACUGGCCCGUAACUGAACGCUGAGGCACGAAAAGCGUGGGGAGGCAAACAGG
rnacentral:rRNA from 1 species